AAGUUCUGGUUGCUGGAUUUGG
rnacentral:misc_RNA from 1 species